rnacentral:rRNA from 1 species
UAACGACGAUAUGCUUUGGGGAGCUGUAAGUAAGCUUUGAUCCAGAGAUUUCCGAAUGGGGAAACCCAGCAUGAGUUAUGUCAUGUUAUCGAUAUGUGAAUACAUAGCAUAUCAGAAGGCACACCCGGAGAACUGAAACAUCUUAGUACCCGGAGGAAGAGAAAGAAAAUUCGAUUCCCUUAGUAGCGGCGAGCGAAACGGGAAGAGCCCAAACCAACAAGCUUGCUUGUUGGGGUUGUAGGACACUCUAUACGGAGUUACAAAGGACGACAUUAGACGAAUCAUCUGGAAAGAUGAAUCAAAGAAGGUAAUAAUCCUGUAGUCGAAAAUGUUGUCUCUCUUGAGUGGAUCCUGAGUACGACGGAGCACGUGAAAUUCCGUCGGAAUCUGGGAGGACCAUCUCCUAAGGCUAAAUACUCUCUAGUGACCGAUAGUGAACCAGUACCGUGAGGGAAAGGUGAAAAGCACCCCGGAAGGGGAGUGAAAUAGAACCUGAAACCGUGUGCUUACAAGUAGUCAGAGCCCGUUAAUGGGUGAUGGCGUGCCUUUUGUAGAAUGAACC